UAGCGAAGGGGGCUAGCGUUGCUCGGAAUCACUGGGCGUAAAGCGCACGUAGGCGGCUUGUUAAGUCAGGGGUGAAAUCCUGGAGCUCAACUCCAGAACUGCCUUUGAUACUGGCGAGCUUGAGUUCGGGAGAGGUGAGUGGAACUGCGAGUGUAGAGGUGAAAUUCGUAGAUAUUCGCAAGAACACCAGUGGCGAAGGCGGCUCACUGGCCGGUACUGACGCUGAGGUGC
rnacentral:rRNA from 1 species